rnacentral:rRNA from 1 species
GGCUUAACACAUGCAAGUCGAGGGGCAGCAUUUCAGUUUGCUUGCAAACUGGAGAUGGCGACCGGCGCACGGGUGAGUAACACGUAUCCAACCUGCCGAUAACUCGGGGAUAGCCUUUCGAAAGAAAGAUUAAUACCCGAUGGUAUAAUCAGACCGCAUGGUCUUGUUAUUAAAGAAUUUCGGUUAUCGAUGGGGAUGCGUUCCAUUAGGCAGUUGGUGAGGUAACGGCUCACCAAACCUUCGAUGGAUAGGGGUUCUGAGAGGAAGGUCCCCCACAUUGGAACUGAGACACGGUCCAAACUCCUACGGGAGGCAGCAGUGAGGAAUAUUGGUCAAUGGGCGCAGGCCUGAACCAGCCAAGUAGCGUGAAGGAUGACUGCCCUAUGGGUUGUAAACUUCUUUUAUAUGGGAAUAAAGUUUUCCACGUGUGGAAUUUUGUAUGUACCAUAUGAAUAAGGAUCGGCUAACUCCGUGCCAGCAGCCGCGGUAAUACGGAGGAUCCGAGCGUUAUCCGGAUUUAUUGGGUUUAAAGGGAGCGUAGGUGGACAGUUAAGUCAGUUGUGAAAGUUUGCGGCUCAACCGUAAAAUUGCAGUUGAUACUGGCUGUCUUGAGUACAGUAGAGGUGGGCGGAAUUCGUGGUGUAGCGGUGAAAUGCUUAGAUAUCACGAAGAACUCCGAUUGCGAAGGCAGCUCACUGGACUGCAACUGACACUGAUGCUCGAAAGUGUGGGUAUCAAACAGGAUUAGAUACCCUGGUAGUCCACACAGUAAACGAUGAAUACUCGCUGUUUGCGAUAUACAGUAAGCGGCCAAGCGAAAGCAUUAAGUAUUCCACCUGGGGAGUACGCCGGCAACGGUGAAACUCAAAGGAAUUGACGGGGGCCCGCACAAGCGGAGGAACAUGUGGUUUAAUUCGAUGAUACGCGAGGAACCUUACCCGGGCUUAAAUUGCAUUUGAAUAUAUUGGGAACAGUAUAGCCGUAAGGCAAAUGUGAAGGUGCUGCAUGGUUGUCGUCAGCUCGUGCCGUGAGGUGUCGGCUUAAGUGCCAUAACGAGCGCAACCCUUAUCUUUAGUUACUAACAGGUCAUGCUGAGGACUCUAGAGAGACUGCCGUCGUAAGAUGUGAGGAAGGUGGGGAUGACGUCAAAUCAGCACGGCCCUUACGUCCGGGGCUACACACGUGUUACAAUGGGGGGUACAGAAGGCAGCUACCUGGUGACAGGAUGCUAAUCCCAAAAGCCUCUCUCAGUUCGGAUCGAAGUCUGCAACCCGACUUCGUGAAGCUGGAUUCGCUAGUAAUCGCGCAUCAGCCAUGGCGCGGUGAAUACGUUCCCGGGCCUUGUACACACCGCCCGUCAAGCCAUGAAAGCCGGGGGUACCUGAAGUACGUAACCGCAAGGAGCGUCCUAGGGUAAAACUGGUAAUUGGGGCUAAGUCG